rnacentral:lncRNA from 1 species
GUGUUGAAAAGGCCCUGGCUCUGGUUGAAGCUAAUCUAACUUCCUUAGGGCUCGGGACCACUAGGGUGUUGCUAUUUAUGAACCUUGAGGCUCUCCGUGAGGCAUACCGGGAGAGGCAGUCCCGUAGGUACGAGGGUCCUAGGCUGUGAAGGGCUUUAAAGGUCAAAACCAGCACCUUAAAUCUGACCCUGUACUCCACCGGGAGCCAGUGCAGAUGGAAAAACACUGGGUGAAUAUGCUCCCAUGGCAGAAACCCCGUGAGGAGCCUCGCUGCAGCAUUCUGCACCCGCUGGAGUUUCUGGGACAGCUUCAAGGGCAGCGUAGAGCGAAUUACAGUAGUCAAGCCUGGAGGUGACCCUUGCAUGGAUCACUGUGGCCAGGUUGGGGCGGGAAAGGUAAGGGGCCAACUGCUUGAUGCGGCGCCUUGGCUGUUGCUGUAACCUGCGCCUCCAUGGAAAGGGAGGCGUCAAGGAUUACACCCAAACUCUAAACGGAAGGCAAUGGCACUAAUUGGGUCCCCGCAAGAGAAGGGAGUUGGUCCCUCAUCCCCAUGCCAUCCCGACCCAGCCAUAGGAUCUCUGUCUUCGAAGGAUUUAGUUUCAAUCGGCUCCCAUGAAACCAUCCAGCCACAGCUUCCAAGCAUCUGGUCAGUGUGUCCGGGGCUGAGUCGGUGUGGCCAUCCAUCAGCAGAUAGAGCUGAGUGUCAUCAGCAUAUUGGUGACAGCCCAGCCCAAAGCUCCGGACGAUCUGGGCAAGGGGGCGCAUAAAGAUGUUAAAAAGCAUCGGGGAGAGGAUUGCGCCCUGCGGCACUCCACACACCAAGGAGUGGCGCGACAACAUCUCCCUCCCUAGUGCCACCCUCUGUCCCCGACCAGAGAUAAAAGAGCACAGCCAUUUACGGGCUAUGCCCUGUAUCCCCACAUCGGCGAGGUGGUGGUCCAGAAGAUCAUGAUCGACCAUGUCAAAGGCUGCUGACAAAUCUAAAAGGAUCAGCAGUCCUGACCCGCCUUGAUCCAGUUGUCUACGGAGAUCAUCUGUUAGGGCAACCAGAGCUGUCUCAGUCCCGAAACCAGGAUGGAACCCAGACUGAAAUGGAUCUAAAGCCAAUGUUUCCUCCGGAAACCUACCAAGCUGUUCAGCAACCGCUCUCUCAAUCACCCUUACCCAGAUAUGGAAGAUUUGAAACUGGGCGGCAAUUGGAUAGGUCUAAGGGAUCUAGUGAUGUUUUCUUUAAGAGCGGGCACACCACUGCUUCCUUCAUAGAAUCAUAGAGUCAUAGAGUUGGAAGAGACCACAAGGGCCAUUGAGUCCAACCCCCUGCCAAGCAGGAAACACCAUCAGAGCACUCCUGACAUAUGGUUGUCAAGCCUCUGCUUAAAGACCUCCAAAGAAGGAGACUCCACCACACUCCUUGGCAGCAAAUUCCACUGUCGAACAGCUCUUACUGUCAGGAAGUUCUUCCUAAUGUUUAGGUGGAAUCUUCUUUCUUGUAGUUUGGAUCCAUUGCUCCGUGUCCGCUUCUCUGGAGCAGCAGAAAACAACCUUUCUCCCUCCUCUAUGUGACAUCCUUUUAUAUAUUUGAACAUGGCUAUCAUAUCACCCCUUAACCUCCUCUUCUCCAGGCUAAACAUGCCCAGCUCCCUUAGCCGUUCCUCAUAAGGCAUCGUUUCCAGGCCUUUGACCAUUUUGGUUGCCCUCCUCUGGACACGUUCCAGUUUGUCAGUGUCCUUCUUGAACUGUGGUGCCUCUGAAACUCAGCCAGGCCUCUUGUCAUGUGCUCCCACUUUUCUGACUGAACCAGCACCCUCUCUCUGUGCUUCUUCAACCCUACGUCGCCGUUAAAAAAUAAUAUUACUAAUUACAAUUUGUACAGUAUCAUGUUAAUGACAAUUCAUGGUAUGGCAUAAUUGUGAAUACUGCUGGGCACAAGAUAUAGGUCAUACUAUUAUGUUGGAAGACUGGGAAAGGUUGUGGAAAACCGAUUUAAAAUUUACAGAUUGUUAUUUGCUGAAAGAAAAUUACAUGAAAAUGAUGUAUAGAUGGUAUAUAACACCAGUGCAGAUAGGAAGGAUGUAUAAAACUGCUUCAAAUAUAUGCUGGAAAUGCAAGGAAAAAGAAGGGCCUUUUUACCCUAUGUGGUGGGACUGUAGUAAGAUUAAAAAAAUUUGGGAAAUGAUAUACAACGAGCUGAAGAAAAUGUUCCAAUUAACAUUUGUAAAAAAAACUGAAGGAUUUUUGUUAGGGAUUGUAGGAAAAGACCUGCCAAGGAAAUUCAAAAAUAUAUUUAUGUAUGCGACAACGGCAAGAGUCUUAAUAGCACAAGGAUGGAAGAAUGAGGAAAUCCCGACUAAAGAAUUGUGGCAAGAGAAACUGAUGGACUAAGUGGAAUUGGCGAAAUUGACACACAAAUUACAUGAUAAGGACAACUGUGAUUUUAAAGAAGUAUGGGAACCUUUUACAAAGUACUUAAAGAAACAACAAAAUGAACUGGACUCCUUGGCAGGUUUUGAAUAAACAUACACAAAUUUUUUAUUGGUAACAUAUUGAUAGAUUAAUUAAGGAUUUUUACAACUUUAUAAUAUGCAGAGAAUAACAUUUGCUGAGAAACCAGAGAGGGGAGCUGAGGGAAGUCUGGGGGGGGGGGAGAGGGGGUUUUCUUUUUUGGGGGAGGGGGAGGGGGAAAUGGGGAAAUGAGGAUGAUGUAUUUUUUAUAAAAUGUUAUGUUGAAAUUCUUAAUAAAUUUUUUUUAAAAAAUUGUGAAUACUGCUAACGUAAUUUAACACCUAAUAAUUGAAAAGACACCUAAUAGUCACGGAAGGGAGGAGGUGGGGGAUUUGGAUUCAUAUAUGCUUUGUGGGAUAAUGGUGUUUUGUUUUGAAUAUAAAACUGUAAAAAAUAAUAAAAACUGUAAGAAAAGACACC